rnacentral:misc_RNA from 1 species
AAAUGCGAUAAGUAAUGUGAAUUGCAGAAUUCAGUGAAUCAUCGAAUCUUUGAACGCACAUUGCGCCCGCCAGUAUUCUGGCGGGCAUGCCUGUUCGAGCGUCAUUUCAACCAUCAAGCCCCCGGCUUGUGUUGGGGACCUGCGGCUGCCCGCAGGCCCUGAAAAACAGUGGCGGGCUCGCUGUCACACCGAGCGUAGUAGCAUACAUUCUCGCUCAGGGCGUGCUGCGGGAUCCGGCCGUUAAACGACCUUCAUAACCCAAGGUUGACCUCGGAUCAGGUAGGAAGACCCGCUGAACUUAAGC